rnacentral:rRNA from 1 species
UACGUAUGGGGCAAGCGUUAUCCGGAUUCAUUGGGCGUAAAGAGCGCGUAGGCGGAUUGUUAAGCGAGAUGUGAAAACUGGGGGCUCAACCCGCAGCCUGCAUCUCGAACUGGCAGUCUUGAGUCUGGUAGAGGAAAGUGGAAUUCCCAGUGUAGCGGUGAAAUGCGCAGAUAUUGGGAGGAACACCAGUGGCGAAGGCGGCUUUCUGGGCCACGACUGACGCUGAGGCGCGAAAGCUAGGGGAGCAAACAGG